AAGUUUUGGGCCAUCCUUUUUCCUCGUAUUGCAGCCUAAGUUCCACUUCAAAACAACCCAAUCCAAUUUCCUUUCCACUCCAAUUCAGCCGCCCCAGCCCAUUAUUUUAACCUUGACCCGACCCUGCGCGUGUUUCUUCUUAUCCUUUCACGCGAGCAAUGCACAAACCAGAACCUUGUAGGCCGAAAUCCAAUUCGAAACUCAGCGAACCCAUCGCGACCCGAGUCCAGCAAAUCCAGGUGUCUUAAUCUCGUGUACCCACUCGUCCUUGCUCGAAAUCAAGCAGCCCUUCUUCUCCAGCCGUUGAGAAUUGUCGGAGUGUGGUACAAAUUCAAGUUGUCCAUCCUUAUCUCUGAGAGUUUUUGAAUUUCGAAUGAAAAUUUUAUCCAAAUAUUUCCUCCCGUGUUCCCCCUAUUUUUUCAGCUUUGGUUUCUCAUAUAAAAGCUCCUCUCUUGCUUCAGCUGGGGGGUUGGGAAAAAAAUAAAGUUUGAAUGGAAAGAGGUUGAAGAAUAUAUUUCAUUCAUAUAGGCAAGAACUCAUAUAUAGAGAAGAAUCUCGAAUAUAAAGUUUUCAAUGUCAAACCGACCUGAAUUCAAUAAAGUGAGAUAGAGAGUACUCAAGUUUCAAUUUCAUUUUUAUAUGGUUGACGUUCUUGUUGUUUCCUUCGAAUCUUACUUUAUGUGAAAGCUCAUUGAAAGGCUCAUUUUGUCCCGGAUUGCUGCUCUCCAAAAGAUUGGUAAAGCUUUGAAAUCAUUGAGGAAAGAAAAAGUAGUGGAGAAGUAGCUUGUUCACUCCGGUUCUUCAGUUGAGUGCAACAAGUGUACCGGCAAAUUUGACUCGCCCUCAACUCUAGCAAGUCUCGGCAUAUCAUGUUCAAGGGUGAGUUGUUCAUUCGAGCUUGGGUUGGAUUCUCUUGGUCAUUACCUGAUGUCCUUAGUUUUCGGACACAAAUUACUUUAUUUCAUUUAUUUUGUUGUCUUUAGUACUCUUAGACUUAGUAAUUGGAGAUUAGAUGUCCUUGUUGUGAUGACUUUUAAGUUUUGGGAACGAUUAAUUAAUAAGUUUUGAAGCUUCCGCAUUAUUUUGUUAUUCGUAGUUGAGUUAUUGGUACAUGUUGGUAUUUGGAUUCCUUGGUUCGCCUACCUAGGUAGUUAAGUUUGGGUGCCACUCACGACUCGAUUUGGGUCGUGACAUAGUAAUUUGAGUUGCAUUAUUUUCUUGUGCACUUGAGAUGCUCUAAUUAAUGUGGUUUGGUCCUAAAUUUUUGCCAUGAUUUAGUUAAAUUGUUGACCCUCUUGAA